AGUGGUUCUCGGGUGAUGCACCUUGGAACCAGAGAGGAGGGAGCUUGGUUCUGGGGUGCAUCACCGGAGAACUGCC
rfam:Myotis davidii contig319216, whole genome shotgun sequence.